AGAAGUUCCGCUACAUCAUGUGUCCGUCCAGGGCCUUUUGCCUUCGACGUCUCAUUUCGUGACGUAUGAGGGUUCACUCACUGUACCUGCAUGUCAUGAAUCAGUCACGUGGCUCGUAAUCAACAGGCCAAUUUACAUCACUAAACAACAGCUCUACAUUCUGCGAAAGUUGAUGCAAGGUGACGAACGCAAUCCUAAGGCACCCUUGGGCAACAAUUUCAGACCUCCUCUUCCUCUAAAUCGGCGAGCCCUCAGGAGCAACAUAAAUUUUAUUCGUCAGGACGGUAAAGACUGCCCCAAUAUGCACAGGAAUAUGAGAUACCAAGCAAACACGUGGGCAUCUCCUGCACCUUGAUCUAAUUUUCUGUCUUCGCAUGAUCGUAUGUUCUGUUACAAAACCUAAGUAUAAGACACGGUGCUCUCUCAAGAUGGAAUUUACAGCUAAAUUUGAAACUGCGAAUGUUUCUGCACUGGAUGCUUUGUACAGAAAAAAGAACUCUUAUGGACCCCUCGUUUUCUCCUUAUAUAUAUAAUAAAUGCAUGAACAUAUCUAUGUGUAUGUAUGUAUAUAUAAGUAAUAAGUAUGUAUACAUGCAUAUGUAGAUAUAUGCAUGUAUAUAUAUAUAUAUAUAUAUAAGUAUAUGUAUAUGUUAUACGUAUAUAUAUGUAAGUAUAUGUAUAUGUUAUACGUGUAUAUAUAUAUAUAUAUAUAUAUAUAUAUAUAUAUAUAUCCAUAAUUGAAAAGAAGCUGUUCAAGAAGAUUUAAUAGGAUUUUAUACAGCGUGACUUAACUACAGCAAAUUGCGCAUUUAUUAUACACAUUCCAUAAAGGAUCUGAUAUAUUUCGUGUUUUUUCUAAAUCAAAGUGUUUCUUUCCAAUGACUAAAAUUUGUAAGCAACAAGAUCACGCUAAUCAUUUCCUAAUCUGGAGCAAUUAUAUGAUUUUAGGCUUUCAUAGGCUGUGUAAUAUUUUCAGCAGCUACUAGUUCUUGAUAAUUCAGACGUCAUUGUAUCGAUAUCAGUGAUUUUUAGUGAUUGAUUAGCAUCUUUGCGAAUAGUAUUGAAAUGUAAGAUUGAUAUGUAAGAGACGUAAAACAGGAAUUCAAAUAUGAAUUAUAUAUAUAUCUAUCACAGUGGACAGCAUGUUUAUCAUUGCGGUCUGAUGUCAACAAAGCAAAGCUAAUUGUUGAUGCUUGUGUGAACCAGACAGACAGCUGCUUAGAGUUUGUCUGUACAAGGCGUUAUUUGUAUACCUCUAUAUUCAGUUAUAUAUUUAUAUUAACACUAGCCUGGCAAUGAGUUUUCUGAAUACUAUAGUUAACUUUUGACUCUGAAAAGUGAAGAAAAAUGUUGGACUAUUACAUUAAGUAACUACAGUAUCUCAAUGAAUGUUAUGUAAUCAAUAAUCAACUAUUGAACUUAAUUCCAUAUGUCUUAUUAGAGGAAACGCGUUAUUUCGUGACUUUAUUUAUAUCCUUUUCUGUAAGUUCAUCUUUCUCAUGUCAAGCGCUAGAUUUGAUAACAAUUAUCUUUAUUACUGAUACGCUCUCUAAAAACUUUCAUCUAGCAGGGAAAGAAAUAACACUUCGUUUUAUAAAAGGUUAUGAUUUUACUUAAAUCAGCUCACAGGGUUGCUUAGAAAAAUUACCCAUGAAGGAAGGUGAACAUAACAUUAUGACCUUAAUUCAAUUCAUGAUCUACUAAUAACAGUACUAAAAUGUCUACGUAAUGCAUUAGUAUUAGUCAUUAAUGACUAAUUUAAAUUAGUUGCAUAAACUUAUCAAAAUGUAUAAGAUAUUUAUUGAUAAUGUUUUAGCUACUAUUUCAUUACAUCUUUAAAUCUGAAUCGCUAUAUGUAUUUAUGUUUCGUGUAAUAGUCUCAGGUCAUUUUGUCCUUUGAUUCAAAAGGAAUAAAUAUUAAUCAUUUUAAGUUCUUUACAAAUGUUUAAAGAUAAGAAUAUGUCGAAAAUUAAAUUACAUUUUUCAGAUUUUGAAUAAGUAAUUUAGCUAAAAUAUCAAAAGAUAAUGUGUUAAAUUAGUAGCUUCUAUAGAACUGAUAAUGCAUUAAAUCCAUACAAUAUUUGAGCAAUGUUCAAUUGCAAAAGCUAACAGAAUUCUGUGAAUGUUCCAGCUUUUCAAAACUUAUCAAUGACUCUCGUGUAACAAAAUAUUUUAAAUUCCCAUAAAUAAUUUUCAAAACGAAAACUUUGUUCGGUAUCUAUAACAGUCGCUAAUUCAUGUAUUAUUUAUUAGCCUUAUGUUUAAAAUAAAAAUUAAUAAACUCUGGAAUUUAAAAAAUGUAUACUAUAUUACGUUGUGAUAUGAAGAUAUGAUUUAAAAGAACCUAAUAAAUGUUUCAGACAAUCAUAAAAAAUCACAGUAAAAAUAUCUUAUAACUGAUAUAGAAUAUCUAAAGCAUAUUCUAACUUCGUAAAACUUUAGGUAAUUUUUUUUUUCUCAGAACUCUAAAUUCAGAAAACUACUUUCGUCAUUUAAUAGAAACGAAGUAAUUACUUCAGUCAUUUUUCAGCAAGAACAUCAAACUAUAGAGCUAUGAGACAAAUGUUUUGUCUCUCCUACAUCUUUGCCCUUUAGUGCAAAAUACUUUAUGGUAAAUGGCGAGGUACGGUGUCGCGAAAUAAAUGCAUCUUGCCAAGUCAAUUAGUUACAGAAAAUUGGGUCUAAUUUAUCCUUUACCUUGUUAACCCAGGUGAUGAUAUCAUAGGAAAAAAAGUUGUGUUAGACUCUACAGACAUAAAAUAUUAACAAAAAAAGUAAGGAAUGUUGUUAGGAUAAAUAUUCAAAGAGUAUCAGUCAUCAUUAUUGAGUAUGAAGACUUAGCAUAGUAUAUUUAUUCAAGACAAUAGCGAUAGACCAUCUGUUGAUAUCGCCAAAAUGUUGAGAAAUAUUAGUGUUUUCCUAGGUUGACUGAGUUAUCUUCCACUAAAUCGCGUUCUACAUUUAAAUAAAUGGUAAAUUUCGAAUAUAAAAGUGAAAAUUAAGAAUAUGUAUAUAAAAUCAAAAAACAAGAUCUACCUUCAUCGUCAUAUUUCAUGAAAAACAACUAAGAGUUUAUAAUCUCUUUUAUACCAAAUGAAUGUAUUGCUCAUUCGCUACCCUUUUAAUAACCGCUAGAGUGUUAUUUAGAAAACUGAUGUCGUAUACUCAAAAUUGUAACUUACUCCUACUUAUCUUCAUACCUUAAAUUUUAGCAAGUACUAUUCAGACUUGUCUGAUAUUACUCUCAAAAGUUAUAGAGAGUAAUUCAUAUCCUCCAUUCGGUUUCUUAUAGAUCUCGCACUGCAUAAUCCUUAUGCACAAGCUGUAUGAUAAAGUAUUCUUUAAUAAACACAAUGUAAAGGAAACCAUAUUCUCUGCAAAAGUUAUAACUAUAACAGAAAUGUAUACGACUAUACUAAUUAUCAGUAGAAUUCCUUUUCAUGUGAUGAGUUUUAAUGUAGGAGUGAAUGAAUGACUCUUUUCAGCAUUCUUCUGCCGUAUAUAUUUGGUAAAUUACUAUUCAAAAUUUUCUGUACAACAUGCUCAUAAAAUUUAACUGACCGAAGGCAUAACAGGGAGAGCAAAGUGUAAAACUCGCGUAUUUCAAAGCUGUUCCGAAUUUUCGACAUAUGGGAUGCCCCAACUUUGAAGCCGUGGAAAAGUUACCAUUUUAAUAUCAUUUGAAAAAUCCAGAAGUGUGAUGAUAUCUCACACUAAUGUCAUGCGUGUGCACACUGCACAUCAAAUAGUGUCAAAACACAUAAAAUAAAAACAUUUUUUAUUCGCCUCAGCAGGUGACAUAAGGUAUACAUAAAAUUAAAAAGGCUGUGCUUAUCACCAGUGCAUCUAUUGUUAAAUUCAAAGCUCAUCAAAGUACCAUAAGAUGAAGAUUAGCUAAAUUUAUGAAAAAGGAAAAAAACUUUUUCCUAGUACCGUUUUACACGUAUUUCUCUUGUAUAUUUGAAUGAACUAUUUUAUAUAACAGCAUCUAUGAAAUUAUUGAUCAUUUUUUAAUUUCCAUUUAAAAUCCUUACGCAUACAUAUAUCUAAUUACGUAUUAAUUCUAUUACAGUAAUUAAUAAUAUGCAUACUAAUUAUGUAUAAUAGUCUGGGUAUAUACGCGCAUUUUCUAUCUCUUUUACAACUAUUAUAAACUUGCCCUUUAUUGUUAUGUUCAGUCAUUCUUUGACUUACUCUUAAAAAUUUGCUGUAAACAUUAAUAUUGUUAUAAUUUUAAUUAAUAAAAUGUACUGCAUUUAAUAUUCAAGUAAAACCUCAGCGAUGAAAUUCUGUAACACGACAGAAGGAUAUACUUUUAAAAUUUUUCUUAGAUUUCUUUAAAUAAAAAAAAAUUUCAAACAUCUGAUUAAAUGAGACAUACAAAUUACGAAUCGCCCAUCCGCUACGUGCUGCAAGAAAACUAAAAAGACGUGAUUUUUUCCCCUAAUUCUAAGAACAAACGUUCAUUAACCAUCAUCUUAGAAAAGAAGGUAAUUUUGUAUGGUUUUAGUAGAGCUAUCAUAAAUAUCAAGAAGAAAUCAAAUUAAAUAAAAUUUAAGAUCUCCGCUUAUACUAUGAGAGCUUACUUAUACUUCUUUUAAUUUGUUAAAAAUAUUUUAACAAUCGUAUAGUCAUCCGUCAUUUGUCAUCUGUCAUAACGUACAUCGUCUUCGAUGUGUUUCAAAUGUUAAUUCUACUGAAAUAAGUAUAGCUUAAGCAUUCAUGUGUUACAUCAAUAUAUGCUGCAAUACUGUAAUACUUUAUUAUCUUGUCCUUUCUGCCUGAGUAAAAGUAACCUAUUCUUUAUGUUUAUGGGUAAAAUAUACAUGCAGAAUUAUUAAUGUUACGAAUCGUAAGUUUUACAUAAAUACAUUCUACAAGGAACAAAAAUUAAAACAUUUUUUUUUAUUUUGAUAAAGUAGAUUUUUGAGCAUACUUUCAUGCAAAAUAAAACACAGAAAUUUUAAUGACUACUCCUUUUUAAAUAAAUAUUAAAGUUAAGAGACCUGGAGUCAUUUAAAUUUAAAAGAUUUCCGCUUCGCUAGUUCGGGCUUGUUUUAUCUUAUUUUAUUAGCUAAUUAGAUUGCUCUGGACAAGACUAGAUACAUUAAACUUAAUAUAUUUGUAACUAAUAUUAAAAAUAAAUUAAACUGAAAUAAAAGCAAACGAAAUGUUUUUAAAAUUACUCAGUGGAGUUCAGCAACAAAAAGUUUACUGGUGACCAUUUUAGUUAUCUAUUUACGGCUUGUUGUAAUUAUGCAAAAUGUAAUCUAACGAUAAUAACACUUGCAAUAAUUUCCAUAAAAAACUACAGAUGUUGUUUGGCAUAUCCAUACCGUCUGAGAGGGAAACUGUGCACAUUUUUUACGUCAUGUCAGUUCACAAAUGUUUAGUGGAAAACCUGUGCUUGACUAAAUAUUAUUUCUUAAGGAAUAAACUGAAUUUUAAAAAACUUUGCACAAAUAUUGUUACAUAUUGCAGUCAUAUAAAUUUUCGAAUGUAAAUUUCUAAAGGAUUAAUUUGAAAGCAUUUAUUUAGAAAUAUUGGCUUCAAAGUAUCAAUUGUAGAAAUAUUAUAUUUUGAAAAUUUGAAUGUUAUGAAAUUCAACAUCAUCCAACCCCUAAAUCUAUAUUCUUUUCAGUCCUUUUUCGGGUGACACUAGCUUUAGUCCUAAAGUUAUGACACUAUUUUCCAACUUCAGCUAUGUGUAUUAUAGUAGUACUAGUUUUCCUAAAAAGAUCUUUAGUCGAGUGAGGAACAGCUUGCUGACUAAACCUUUUCUCUUAUAUCAGGUUUAGUAUAUUUUUACUAAAAUGUGUCACUUUACUAAAAUGGUUAUAAUCUGAAACUCUACUUCAUAGGUUUCGUUUCUUAAACUAAAACCGUGACCAGCAUUUUAAGAGAUAUUUAGCAAAGCAACUUUUAAGUGCGUAUGUAAUAUAAACAAUGGUUAAAAUUGAAGAUAACCCAUAAUGUGAAAAUUAGAGCUGAGGAAUCUCUCCAGUUUAAAUAUAGUCAUAGAUAUUUCAGUCCGCUCAUUAUUGCAAAUAUGCCUUCGUUAGCUAAGUAAAUGUAAUUGAAUAGACUCAGCAGCCCCUCUCACCUGUUACUAAAUUUUAUAUCUUAUCAAAUAACAUGUUGACAGGAAGAUGCUAGAGCUUAGAUGAGAAAGCUUUAACUUCUAUGAUUGGAAAUUAAACUGAAGGCUUCCUUAAACUGAAUAUUUUUCCGUGCUAUUAUCGCAUCACGUUAUCUCUCAUUGGUGAUAAAAUCGUUGUAUGGGAAUGGAUGAGAUUUCACGCCUUUAUGCUAUUAGCAUGUUCCAUCCAAAUAUUUCUCACGAAGAAAGGUUUAUAUAUGACACUAAGAUAUUGUCUGGUCAGGAAUAUUCAUUUAAAUACAUGCUCGCUAAAGUUUCUCUAUAUAAAUGAGGUUUAAAAAUAUAUUGAAGUAUAACAAAAAAGGCAUAUGGGAAAACAUUUCAAACUAGAAAGGUUAACAGGAUGUAUAAAAAUUGAAAACUGAAAUUUAAAUUGCAUAGCUCUCCUUUAAAACUGAAAAAAGCUUUCCUAAAGAAAACGUCCCUUUUAGGAACAGCAUUGAGAGGGAAUACUAUGACUUUCAUCAUAUGACUUUCAUCAUAAAAUCAUUUUUAAAGCUUCUGAAUUCACUUCAAAAUUAAUUUUCAGGUUUAAGAUUUUUAAAGCUCAAUGAAUUAUAAAAGUUCUUAUUUAAUAUAACACGCGUUAUGAUAUUUUUCGUGAAGGCAUCUUCUUUUUUCUUUUUUUUUUUCCUUUAACACAUAUUAUUACGUCUUCAUCACACUUUUAGUAGCCUAUUUAUAAAUUAACUAAAUGCAUUUUAAUAUACAAAAAGCUAUAAAAAUCAACUAAAAUUACUCUUUUCGCUUUUAAAUUAAUUCAUUUCAUCUUCACUCGUUCAUUCCUUUAUCCUAACUAAUUCUUAAUUACAACUAUUGAAAACACAAUACGAUUCUAAACAAAUUAGCAUGUCAAUUUGGAAAUUAGAGCAAUUUCUCUUCGGCUGAGGCGUUUACAACAUGAUGGAGAGACUUUAAAUUGCAUUUUUGAAAAGUCUUCUGUACCUUAUUCAUAGUAGCAUUUUUAAAAAUGCAUAAAUCGUUCCAAAAUACAAAAACAAAUUCCUAAAAUAAUGUCAUUAGCUAUAUUCAUCCUCGUCUUAAUGGCUGCCUUUUAUUUUUUUAUAUGCACAAGUAAUAGGUACAGGUAAAUAACAUAAUAAGUAAUAUAACUUUCUGUUCUAACACUCCCUGCAUCAUAUUUACUCUUUUCAUUCUUAGUACAAAGCAUUUGCCACGCCUUUGGACGCCUUAAUAUCAUUAUUUGCAUUUAAAAAACAAAUUGAUCGAUUUGAUUUGACUAAUGACAAUUAAGUUUGACUUUUGCUGAUUCGAUGAAAAGAGAGAUCAAAUAGAUUCGUUACUUCAUGAAAUACCAUUUUUUGCACACUUUGCGAAAACGAUUUUCAUAAUUAUUCAUUAAUUCAGAGUUGUAAAUAAUACCUUAACUUUAAAAUCGACCUUUUUCAAUGUCCAUCAAUGUUUCAAUAAUGUUUUCCGAUGUUUCAACGUCCAUCAAAACAAAAGAAAAUGUGGUAAUUUUUAAAUGUAUCAAUUUAUUUAAUGGGGAAAAAUUAAAAGCUAAAAAUUCGCAGUUUAAAGUCCCACCACGAGAGACAAACGAAUGAUGUAAUAGUAAUUACUUCGGAAUGAGAUUUUAAACUUAAGCUGUCUCUGAAUAAGAUCAGUGUAUUAUUAAAAUGCUCUGUCACUCAUAACUGAUAUCUAAAAUUUAGAAAAUCUUUGAAGUAAUAUGUAGUUUGCUCUUUUAUUUCCGAAAUAAUUGAAUAUUGGAAGCAAAACAACUCCACUUCUAGUACUUGAAGAAAUCAGAGGACUAUGGGAGCAAUGAUUUAUUUUUUGAAUUUGGCUAUUUGAUUUUGUCCUGAGAGAAGUGUGUGUGAAACUGUAACUCCUUUUCCAACGUAUGAAUUUCCCAUUUAAAAUUAAACUUUUCACUCAAAACUGUUAUAUUUAUUUCUAUACUUUUCUGCAAAUACUACAUAUGUUAUUAUCGUGUUAAAUUUAUAACAUAAGUCUACAAGGUUUUCAUCAUUAUACUCUAGUGAUUUAAAAUAUUUUCAUUUGAAUUUUUUCUCUAUUUAUUUUGUUAAUUUUUAUUAUUGUAGAGUCAUAAUACUCGCGUGCUUUUACAGAGAAGUUGAAUCUACUUUAAAGUAUGGAUAGCAUAUCUAAAUCGCUCGCAGUAUUAAACUGGUUACAGAGGUACUCUUGUGAAAAAUAUGUGAUUUUUUAUUCGCACUACAGCCAUAUGAGUUGUGAAUAUCACAUGAAAUAUCACUGAGUGAAGUAUAGGUGUAUAGAAUUAAUUUAAUACCUGAAAAAUUUUCUACUCGUGUUCAUGCAAAUGUUCAUGUAAUGUGGCAACACUUUGUUCACAUUUUUAUUGGCUACUUAUAUAUAAAUAAACAAAUAAAUAUAUAUAUAUAUACAUGUGUGUGCGUGUGUGUAUGUAAUAAAUUGAUACCAUCGAUGUUUAAGCUAAAGUGUCAAAAGUAUCUGAUUGUGUACAGAUCAGAGACUGGCAAUGGAUUUAUCAAAAACAAUUGUCGACCAGGAAAUAAAAGUACUUUCAUAAUGUU
rnacentral:lncRNA from 1 species